rnacentral:rRNA from 1 species
AUUGAACGCUGGCGGCAUGCUUUACACAUGCAAGUCGAACGGCAGCGCGGGCUUCGGCCUGGCGGCGAGUGGCGAACGGGUGAGUAAUGCAUCGGAACGUGCCCAGUAGUGGGGGAUAGCCCGGCGAAAGCCGGAUUAAUACCGCAUACGACCUGAGGGUGAAAGCGGGGGACCGAAAGGCCUCGCGCCAUUGGAGCGGCCGAUGUCGGAUUAGCUAGUUGGUGGGGUAAAGGCGUACCAAGGCGACGAUCCGUAGCUGGUCUGAGAGGACGACCAGCCACACUGGAACUGAGACACGGCCCAGACUCCUACGGGAGGCAGCAGUGGGGAAUUUUGGACAAUGGGGGCAACCCUGAUCCAGCCAUGCCGCGUGCGGGAAGAAGGCCUUCGGGUUGUAAACCGCUUUUGUUCGGGAAGAAAUCCUCUGGGCUAAUACCCCGGGGGGAUGACGGUACCGGAAGAAUAAGCACCGGCUAACUACGUG